GGAACUGUGGCAGUUCUGUCAUUACGGAAGGUGGGACCCCGAGGGCUAAGAAGAGUAAUGAAAUGAAAGGAGCGAAGAAGAAGUUGAUUCUGAUGGGGUGGUAGUAUUCACGGCGUACGGCUUCGAAGUAGAGGAUGAUUUUGAGGAGGUAAAUGAUGGCAAUGGUAAAGACUAAAGCGACUGAGAUGAACCAGAGAGCUUGGUUGAUCCAUAGGGGUACGUGAAGGAACUUGGUUGGCUCAGCAGUGGCUAGGGUUUUCCACAUUAUGGCUUGGCUGCUCACUCCAAGGCACAUACCGAAGGUUGAUAUGGGGUAACGAAGAAGAAACGGCCACGUUUGUUCACUUGGUAGAACGAUUUCUUCUAGAGGCUGCAACGUCCAAAAAAUAAAAAUAAUUAGAAUAUAUGUCAGUCAUGGAUAUAUAGUCUAAUGCAGGCUUGGUCCGGAGCAUAAUCAAAAUAACCGAUCGCUUAAAACACCACAAUUUUAGUUGCAUGUAGAACAUUAUGAAAAAGUUAUAUGAAGAAUAAGAGCAUAAACUUUUAUUUGAGCGUAGGACGUUAUAAUUUUUUUUUUAAAUGUCCGACCGGCACUGGUUUAGUGAAAACAAGUGUAGGUACGUACCCGGAGAGUCUCUAAUUCAGGACCUUCCAAGGCAUCAUAGUAACGGUCCACAGGCAUUGCUUCAUUAGUAUUUAUAUUCUCCUUAGGCCGGUUUGGUGUCUCCGGUUCAAUAGCAGCUGGUUUUCUUGUAAACUGUCUCUCCAGUUUCCCUGACCAAGUCUUGAACGAGGUGUACCUGUGAUCCUUAAGCUUAUGCAUCCCCGGGUUUUGAUUUUGAAGUUGACCACUCUGUUGUUGAUUUUGCUGAUGAUGAUGAUUGUCAUGACGACGACCAUCAUCAUCAUCAUUGCCGCUUCCUAUGUAGAGAGAUGACACUUUGGCCAUCGGCUGAGAGAUGAACUUGACUGACUUUCCAGUCGAUACAGUGUUGUUGUUGUCGGAAGACGUUGAUGUCGGAUCGGAUAUCAUGAGAAUAUUUGGUGAAGUUGGCAUUGAAAGUGAUGGUUUUCUUUGAUGAUUGAUCUGCAUCCAUGGUGCAGUCUCUUUGAGAUCCUCAAUAUAGCUACGAUGAGCUUUCAUUGAUGAUCUUGCUGCUUCUUGACCAUUCUAUUCACAUAUAUAUAUGCAACGAAAUUAGGUCGACUUUAGUUAUAUAAUAACUUCAAAACCUAAUGUUUGUGAACGUGGAAUGCAAUAAAUAAAAUAAAUAAUAUACCAAAGUAGUCGUGGAUGCAUGAUAAGGAUGAAAGCGACUGAUGAAGCGUGGAAGAGGAAGAUUAUUAUCCUUGUAAUUGUCAAAGCCAACCAUUUCUUCUGUCGUGGCUGUUCUUAGUAAUGUUGGCAGCUCUUCUUCUAAUUCUAUUUGCACACAAUAUGAUCUCCCCUCCAUUGUUAAUAAUCUUUUUUUAGCAAAUAUUCCCCUGUAAACAAAACGUCAACUAUUACGUUAUUUUUUAAUCUACAAAAGUAAUUUAUCUUUUGACUUGACUUGUAUCAUUGAUUCAUUCAUCAGCCAAAAUGAUUGAUUAGUAUAAAACUUAUAUGAUUUUGAAGCAUAUGCGAGGGAAGACAAUAACUAUAUAGUUCGACAAAAUUCUAAAUAAAAUACUGGCCAUGUUAGUAGAGGAGAAACUUCUCGCCAGUUCUUGGUCACAAGAUUUUAACCUUUUUUCUCUGUUUUUCCUUAAUUAUUCUCUAUAACAUAUUUUUCUAGCGUUAUCUAGAAAAUGGAUCUGGGUUUUAAAUUUUCCAAAAUGACAAGCUGAUAAAAAUAGAAACAGUUUUUUUCUAUCAAAACAAAAGCAUGAUCUAACCCACUAAAUCUAUCUACCUAAGUUCUCCACCUAUAAACAGAUAUUCUAACCUAAAUUCUCCACCUAUAGACAUUCACCUAAAAAUCAUUAUAUUUAAAGGCUAGUGGUCUAGCCACUAAGGUGGUUUAAUUUCUCAGCUGAAUGGAAUUCAACUACACUUACCCUCGAUUCGACAUCACGGGCUAGGAGAAAAAACACCAUUGUUCUUUGUUUGAUCCUAAAUGAUUCCACUUCAAACUAUAAAUAUGUGUUGGAGGCUCUUGUAAAUCCUCAUCAAAUCAAACAACAAUCAUAAAAGAGAACAAAGUAUAAUGUAAAAAGAAGAGAAUAAAAAUCUUUAAAACAAAUUCAUAAGAUUAUUAAAUUUGUAUAGGGUAAUCUUUCAAAUCUUAUUUCAGAAAACUAAUAAUUUUAGAACUGUCUUAAUGAGUCUACGGAUAGUUUACAUGGAUUUUAUUUUCAUCGUCAUGAGCUAAGAAAAACAUGGAAAUAUAUGGUAGUAACAAAUUGUCUACCAAAGUUGCCCAAAAAUACGGUACUGAAUGUAAAGAAUAUGUACUUUAUAUUAUUGAGUAGGAGACUAGUAUGGGACUAUUGAAAGUCUUGAUGCACACUCCUAUCAUUACGCUGCAUAUAUUCUCACAUUAAUCCUGCAUAUACUCUUACCUAACUUGCAUCAUCUCUUCUGUAUAAGCAUUGCUCUUGUCAAUAAUAUCAUUCAAUUCAAUACCUCAAUAACUAGGAGUCACUUACAUAUUUAUGCAGAAAUACGAGCAAUUCUAGGAUAGUAUGAGUGAUUUUCGUGAUUGAGUAAUCAUAGAAUUGAUUGAGUGAUCACGGUAAUUAAUUGUAAUGAUGCUCUCUACCACUAAACUAGUUUUAACAAAACAAAACUCCUGCAAACAACAGAAUAUAUAAAAAAGUGUACAUUUUUUAAAGUAACGACAGAUUUCUAGUCAAUUGUGUGGUGACUGGUGAGCUAAGCUGUGUCCAUCAAACUUAUCGGGUCCACUUGAAAUUUAUGGUCCGACCGGCCAACAAGGCUUAUGGUUAUUGUAACAAUAACAGCCAACAGGUAAUCAAUCGCUGUGAAAAAACGGUUUUCAUCCUACAUAUAACGGACUAACAAACCGAUUCCGUCGCAUUGGCUACAGCUAAUGCGUUAAAAAUUAAAUGUUUGCUAUUGGCAUAUUGGGGUUUAGUCUCAGUUAUUUUUUCUGGAAGCAUUUUGGGUUUAUGAAAGAAGAACGAUGAGAAAAGGGACAAAACAAGAAAAUAACAAUUCUAAUUAACAAGAUUAACAGUUCGUUAUCAGAACCCUAAAAGUAUAUUUUCCUUGUUAAUUCAGAAUCUUAAGUUUUUUGUUGAACAUGCAUUCAGAAUCCAAAGUUGCCUAUGCAUUUCCGUUAAAAGGAUGUAUUAAAACAAAAAUUUAAGGAGACCUGUCAACGAGCUAAAAGAGGACAAGAGAAAUGAAAUUAACACACUAACCUGGCGAUUAUGAACCCCGCAACCAGAGUCCACGUCGAGCUUGCUUAAUUAUGCCUGAAAUUCUGGGGAAAAUACGAGAAAAAAAGAAAUGCUGCUUGAGAUUUGAAAUAUCUAUAGAUCUUUUCUGUUUCUUGUGGAGAUAACUAUGGAGUCUUUUUGUUGCAAAAGAAGCGAAGACUAAGGAGAGAAAUAAAGAAAAAGAUGAGUUGGUUUGAGCGAAAACAAAACACGUCUUUGUACUCUAUAUAUAUAGGGAAGAUAAUAUCUAUGUGCACGUAAGUACAGUUACGGAAAUCUAUAGUGAAUGUAUUUGUUAUAUGUAUAGCUGUAAUACAAAGUUUAUAACGUGGCCGUCUUCUUGUUGAUUAACUGGUCAUGAUUUACGUUAUUGACAAUCUUAAGUAUUUUUCUUUAUUAUUUAGACGCAUUAUUCAAUCUAGCUUUGGUCGUUCGGUAGUGGACCACAUUAUUACGAAACGAACAAAAAAAUUAAGCAACUUGGAAAAUUUUGAAAUAAAUUUAUGCAAUUGAGUUAAUAUCUUAUGUAAUAAAAACAUAAAUUUUAUUUCUAUAAAUGAUUUUGAUUUCCUCAUAUGAAACCUUAAAAUGUUUUGGAAAAGGAUCCGGGUGAUUCAAAAAACAACAUGAGGAGUACGUAUAAUGGAUCUAGAAGAUCCAUGAUACAAAUGAUAAUGUAUUCACAAUAUAUAUUACCAUUGGUGUCAUGAAUGUUUUAUAUUAUAUAAUCACAAGAUUAUCAUUAGUAUCAUGAUUUUUCUAAAUAUUUCUUCAAACCUUUAUGGAAAUCGAGUAACCAAAACUGUUGUACAUUAACAAAAAUUUAUGUACUAUAAGAAUAUCUGAAUAUAUAUUUUUCAAUAUGUCCCAAACAAUAUGAGGGUUUUAUAUGACAUUAUAAACAUACAGUGUGUAUUUUUAGCUCAUAUGAUAUGCAAUGGAUUUUUUAUGUUUGGCAAAUUUAGCUUUGUAAAGUUGUACUUUUCUUUUUCAUAUUCACAAGGUUAUAUGUUUUUUUUGGUGCACCACAAGGUUAUAUGUUACUAGAAUAUGUGCAUGUGUUUUCACUUUUUUCUUUUAGGUUAUGAUUUUCAUAAGUUCUUCAGUUUUCACGGGUAUCAUAUGGUUUGCUUUGCUACCUCAUAAUUAGACUUGGCAAAUAUUAAUUCAUUUUAUAUACAAAACUGUUUUUCAGAAAUCAAGUACAAUCGGCGUACGGCUUCGAAGUAGAGGAUGAUUUUGAGGAGGUAAAUGAUGGCAAUGGUAAAGACUAAAGCGACUGAGAUGAACCAGAGAGCUUGGUUGAUCCAUAGGGGUACGUGAAGGAACUUGGUUGGCUCAGCAGUGGCUAGGGUCUUCCACAUUAUGGCUUGGCUGCUCACUCCAAGGCACAUACCGAAGGUUGAUAUGGGGUAACGAAGAAGAAACGGCCACGUUUGUUCACUUGGUAGAACGAUUUCUUCUAGAGGCUGCAACGUCCAAAAAAUAAAAAUAAUUAGAAUAUAUGUCAGUCAUGGAUAUAUAGUCUAAUGCAGGCUUGGUCCGGAGCAUAAUCAAAAUAACCGAUCGCUUAAAACACCACAAUUUUAGUUGCAUGUAGAACAUUAUGAAAAAGUUAUAUGAAGAAUAAGAGCAUAAACUUUUAUUUGAGCGUA
rnacentral:lncRNA from 1 species